rnacentral:misc_RNA from 1 species
GAACGCACCUUGCACCCUUGGUAUUCCGAAGGGUAUGCCUGUUUGAGUGUCAUUAAAUUCUCAACUUCAAAAGAGUUUGUGCUUUUUUGAAGCUUGGACUAUGGAAGCUUGCUGGUAUCACUAUCAGCUCUUCUUAAAUGCAUUAGCGGAACUGUGAAGGACCAGCUUUGGUUUGAUAAUCCUAUCUAUGCCGUCGCUGUGGACUUGUGUUCAGCUUCUAACUGUCUUCGGACUGUCUCCUAUGAGGCAUACAACUUUAAGCUUGACCUCAAAUCAGGUAGGACUACCCGCUGAACUUAAG